rnacentral:rRNA from 1 species
CCUGACGGUAGUCGUAUGCUCGUCUCCGAGACUAAGCCAUGCAAGUCCAAGUACACGUCCUUGAACGACGGAAACUGCGAACGGGCUCAUUAAAUCAGUUGCGAUCUACUCGGCGUUCCGCGCCGCCGGAUAACCGUAGUAAUUCUAGGGCUAAUACGUGCGAAGCGCCCGAAGCCGCGAGGUGACGGGCGUUCUCGCCGGAUGUAGGAACCGACCCGGGGACCGCCGGGGCAACCCCGGCGCCCCCGAGACGGGGCGAACCACGGUGAAAUGACGGAUCGUCGGCCCCGCGCCGGCGACUCGCCGAAUGAGUUUCUGACCUAUCAACUCGAGACGGCGGGGUAGAGGCCCGCCGCGGUAACGACGGGUAACGGGGAAUCAGGGUUCGAUUCCGGAGAGGGAGCCCGAGAAAACGGCUACCACUUCCAAGGAAGGCAGCAGGCGCGCAACUUACCCUAAUCUCGAUUCGAGGAGGUA